UGAACGCUGGCGGCGUGCCUAAUACAUGCAAGUCGAGCGAACGGACGAGAAGCUUGCUUCUCUGAUGUUAGCGGCGGACGGGUGAGUAACACGUGGAUAACCUACCUAUAAGACUGGGAUAACUUCGGGAAACCGGAGCUAAUACCGGAUAAUAUUUUGAACCGCAUGGUUCAAAAGUGAAAGACGGUCUUGCUGUCACUUAUAGAUGGAUCCGCGCUGCAUUAGCUAGUUGGUAAGGUAACGGCUUACCAAGGCAACGAUGCAUAGCCGACCUGAGAGGGGGAUCGGCCACCCUGGAACUGAGACCCGGUCCAAACUCCUACGGGGGGCAGCAGUAGGGAAUUUUCCGAAAUGGGCGAAAGCCUGACGGAGCAACGCCGGGGGGGUGAUGAAGGUCUUCGGAUCGUAAAACUCUGUUAUUAGGGAAGAAAAUAUGGGUAAGUAACGGUGCACAUCUUGACUGUACCUAAUCAGAAAGCCACGGCUAACUACGU
rnacentral:rRNA from 1 species